rnacentral:rRNA from 1 species
CAGUAGCCGCGGUAAGACGAACCGUGCGAACGUUAUUCGGAAUCACUGGGCUUAAAGCGCGUGUAGGCGGGCCGCCACGUCGGCUGCUGAAAUCCCCCGGCUCAACCGGGGAAGUGGCACCGAUACGAGCGGCCUGGAGGGGGGUAGGGGGGACUGGAACUUCCGGUGGAGCGGUGAAAUGCGUUGAGAUCGGAAGGAACGCCCGUGGCGAAAGCGAGUCCCUGGACCCUUACUGACGCUGAGACGCGAAAGCCAGGGGAGCGAACGGGAUUAGAUACCCCAGUAGUCCCUGUCUCUUAUU